CCUACGGGAGGCAGCAGUAGGGAAUCUUCCGCAAUGGACGAAAGUCUGACGGAGCAACGCCGCGUGAGUGAUGAAGGUUUUCGGAUCGUAAAACUCUGUUGUUAGGGAAGAACAAGUACCGUUCGAAUAGGGCGGCACCUUGACGGUACCUAACCAGAAAGCCACGGCUAACUACGUGCCAGCAGCCGCGGUAAUA
rnacentral:rRNA from 1 species